rnacentral:rRNA from 1 species
GCGAGUGAAGCGGCAAAAGCUCAAAUUUGAAAUCUGGUACCUUCGGUGCCCGAGUUGUAAUUUGUAGAAGGUAACUUUGGGGCUGGUCCUUGUCUAUGUUCCUUGGAACAGGACGUCAUAGAGGGUGAGAAUCCCGUGUGGCGAGGAUCCCAGUUCUUUGUAAAGUGCUUUCGAAGAGUCGAGUUGUUUGGGAAUGCAGCUCUAAGUGGGUGGUAAAUUCCAUCUAAAGCUAAAUAUUGGCGAGAGACCGAUAGCGAACAAGUACAGUGAUGGAAAGAUGAAAAGAACUUUGAAAAGAGAGUGAAAAAGUACGUGAAAUUGUUGAAAGGGAAGGGCAUUUGAUCAGACAUGGUGUUUUGCGCCCUCUGCUCCUUGUGGGUGGGGGAAUCUCGCAGCUCACUGGGCCAGCAUCAGUUUUGGCGGCAGGAUAAAUCUGCAGGAAUGUAGCUUGCCUCGGUAAGUGUUAUAUCCUGUAGAAAUACUGCCAGCUGGGACUGAGGACUGCGACUUUACGUCAAGGAUGCUGGCAUAAUGGUURWAUGCCGCCCGUCUUG